CUCUGCUAUUGUUAAAGAGAAUCUCUUCUAUGCUGAAGCAGAGUCCAUGCUUAAGUGACACUGGCAAUCAGCUGCACCCACAGGAACAGGAGGAUGAAGCAGCAAGAAAGGAGAAAGAUUUUGUUUUGUCCCUUCAUCUCCUACUCAAAAGUAAAGGCAGGUUAACACCUUUGUCUUCCACGGCUCAAGAAAGUUCCCUAGGGCACCACUAGACUGAUUUGGAUAUUGCAAGUAAAUAGGAAACAUUUUCUAGUUUCACAUGUAAUUUAUUUAUUUGUUAUUCACAUAGUUCUUCAUAAAUAUUGUCAAAUUACAUAUUCAGAUAUGCAAAUCUCUUUUAGUGGUUGUGAUGCAGUUUUCUGUGGCUAUUUUUGCAUAAUUUUAUAAUAUUAAACAAUUUUAAUAAUUUCAAUAUUAACAAUGUAUUAUAGGACACAAACUGUGUUUGUAUCAUAAGUCACUAAACAUGGCUGCUACUUUGUAUUGCUUGAAAUGUUUUUCUCCAUUGCAUGGCUCAUAAAGGAGAAGAUUAAAUCUUCCUAAGACUAGACGUUACCUGUCUUUCAUUUCAAUAACUCAAAUAUUCUUUUUUUUUAUUGCUACAGUAACCUUUUUUAGCAAAUCACAUUCUGUUGUGAUACUGUGCAAGUUUGCAAUAUGCUCAAAAAGAUUCCACAUGCAUUUUCUUGAAAUCCAUCACAAAGCAUUGUUUUGCCUGUUGCUUCUAACAAAGCCACUUAUUUUACUAAUAGUAAGGGGGUUGAUGGAGAGAAAGAGAGAGAGAAAGAAUUAUUGGUCCCUUUUGUCUCCCUUGGUGAAGCCAGGCUAGAAAUCUGUGAAAAUCUGAUUUUUUAAAAAAUUCUAUGGAACUGAAGAUGAUAAUGGGGCUUCAAAGGCAAAUCUCACAGCAAUUUAAUGAGUCAGUUGAAAAUCUAGAAAACUUUUAACUCAGCAAUUUGGAGAAAUUGACUGACUUGUGAAUGGGAAAUGGGGAAAUAAAUCCUGAGGGCUACUGAAAAUUACA
rnacentral:lncRNA from 1 species